GUGUCUGCCUCCUGUACAGCUGGUCAGGAGGAAGGAAUGUUCAUGACAGCCCAUUCCUGUAUUGCUAAGCCAUAAUUUAAUGCAGAUGGGCAUAAACCUUUUUGAUCUGAGUGACUGUCUGAUUAUUUUCUUCCUCUAAUAAAAGCCUCAUAAUAUGUGACAUAUUGCCAUUUGACCUGUGGGCCAUACACAGCCUCAAAUCCUUGGUUUAGUAUUAUACCUGAACUAGACCAGUAUCUGAGGAUUUAUUGGUUGCUUGCUUUUGCCUAGCACCUGACUCCUUUAGGCCAAUAGAAACAGCAUACUUAUAACUAGGGAAGAAAAUUGGGUUGUCACUGUAUAUUUUGUGGCCAUCCUACUGGCAAAAGAUAAUACAGAAAGCUUAAGGCUAUAAGCAGCACUCCAUUGGCUAGCAAGUAUCCUUGAGAGCCAAAGUUUGCCAUUGCGUUCCCAGUUGGGGACAGUACCUCAAAUGUGGAGUUAUUUAUAUUGUGAGGGACAGACAAUAGGAAAAAAAGUGACACAGAGCAAAUUGAUGGAUUUCCAUGCAAUUGCUUUACAUGACUGAGAAAAUAGUGCAGCAUACUAUGUUCCCUAGCUUGGUCUUCAACUCUUUACUUGCCAGUCAGCCUAGUCAAGAGCCUGUUAGUUCAAAUGCUGUGAAGUGCAAUCUAAUUCAGAGGGAGGCGGAUGGUUUGGGAAACAUUUCUAUAUCCCCUGAGACACUUGUGGGUGAACCUGGAUAGAAUGAGGCUUACAUUUGCCCAUAUUGACUCUAAUAGCAUCUGAAUUUCAAAUUACUGGGUUCCCCCCCCCAAAGAAUGCACUUUUAUUGCUGUUGCCAUCCACUGGGAUCCUAGGAUCUGCAUUUAUCCCGUUGAAGCCACUGUUAUCAAAUUGCCCGUAGUACCACUAACCUGGCCAAAGAGGUUUGUAAUUUUGCCCUUCUCCCCGCAAAGGAUCAUCACUUUUAAUAUGUGCCUGAUUGUUCCCCAACAACCCUCUCUCAAGGAACUACAAAAAUUCAGGUUGCAGCUGUCUUACAUCGCAUCAAGCCAAGGAUUUAUAUAGGUCAAUAUUAUUUGCCAUUGAUGGGCAGCAUGUUCCCAAGGAUGCUUUAGGGCAGAACCUAGAACAUGUUACAUAAAUGUUCGUGCGCUAUCACUUCACUUGGGUUCUUCCCCCCUCCCCAAUUUGCUUUGUAUGAUUAAAAUAAAAAUAUUUAAACAAGUACAGAUGCUAACUAAGUGGAUGGAGGUUUGUCUAUUGAAAUCUAUAUGCGAGCAUCCGCAAGUACAACAGCAUCAUUAACUGCUUACUAUUACAAAUGUGCAAUCUGAUUAAUGCAUGCUUACUGUAAUGUCAUAUUGGGUUUAAUAGGACUUUAGUCUCAGGACAGUCUCAAAGCCUUACUGGUAUUUAUGGUGAGUACUGAAUUUGAUUGAAAUCAACGGGAUUUAAAUCCUGCAUAAAUUAUGGCCAAGUUACAAAUAUAGUUCUUUGUUUCAUGUCCAUUAAUCAUCCAGGGGUAGGGGUGGGAUGACAAAAUAGAUGUGGCAAUAUCAUAGAAAGAUUGCAUCUUAUGUACUUGUGUCAGAUGUUGAAAUGCAAGUACAGAAUCAUGGCAUUUGUGUAAUGAUGUCACUGCACACAGGCUGUCAUUUUGGUGUCAUUGCAUCCUGGUCACCUGAUUAAAAUUAGAGCUGAGAAAUGAAAAAUCUAUUCCUUUUUCUGCAUCAGCUUCCUGAUAUGUUGCAUUUUCAAGUAUUGAAAGGAAACCCAGUCAAAGUAGAGGAAACCAUAAACUUUGUACAGUACCAGAUUUUUUUUUAUGCAGAGAGUUUCUGUUGAGAAGACAAGACAGAAACUUGGAAAUAAAUUGUCCAUCACCACAUACAUUUCCAUUUCAAAGAACAAAAUAACAACAAACAUCCCAAAAUAUCAUCAUUGGCUUAAUUCACAUAUAAUGACGUGCCAGAUACUCAUAUUUAGUAAAGGCAUGUGAGCACAUUCUUAACUAGCUUUGGUAAUAGGUACCUGUAACUGAGUCUCUCAAGAUAAGUCAAUACUUUUCUUAAGCCCCUGGAACAGAUGACAUUUUUAUAAGGUAUUCCUUUCAGGGAAGCCCUUUCCAAUGUGAAGAACAAGCACACACAUUGGUGGUAUAUAAUUAAAGAAACAUGAUAAACUAUGCCCUGCCAUAGACAAAUAUACCACCUUAAUUAUUAAAAAAAUAGUCUGUAUUUAUUUGGAAAACAAUAAAAAUCAUUUAACUAGUUUGAAAGUGUAUAUUCUAUGAGCUAUUUAGAACCACAACAGCACAGAAUUGUCAUCAAGUUAUGAACUGCAUGGUGGACUUUAUGUGUUCUCCUAGAGAAUAGCGCAGCACAAGGAGGAGGCAGCUACUGUACAAAACAAAACUUUCAUCACACAAGGAGCUGUUAUUUCACCAAUAUUACCUCAGAAGUUGGAAAAGAAGAGCAAUAUAGGGCCCACCGAUGAAUGUGUGUGUGUGUGUGUGUGUGUGAAUGUGCUUGAAUGCCUGCAUGUGCACGCGCAGUGAAAGGUGGCAACUGAGAGGAAUCACACCACGCAGGUACAUGAUUCACGUGCUGGUGGAAACUCAUGCACUGAGACUUUGGGUUAAAAUGCUAGUCUGUUCUCUUAACAAUCAUGCAUAAUGAUCUGUUUCUGUACAUAAUAAAAUAUAUUUAUAUAUUUAUAUGCAUUCUGCUUUUAUGCCAAAAAAAGUUCUUCAUAUAUCACUUUGGAGAAAUAUGUAUAUGUUGUCCUAAGCCAAAGUGUCUUCACACCAUUAAAAUAAAAUUAAAAAAAAAAAAAAUUAAAACGUACCAUCAGGUUUUCCCCUAUUUCUUUCUUGCCUUCUUUGCCCCUCCUUCACAUGAAAAAUACCAAUAAAAAGUAAUUAAACAGGACUUGCACAGCACCAUAACUUUCAGUCAUUAUUACUAUAUAAAUUUACAAAAAGAAAUCCCUAUAAGCAAAAUAUAUAAAAACUACUUUGUUUUUCAAUGGAAUUUAUCCAGUUACAAUCUACGCUCCUAUGAAAAGCUCUCGGUAUGGAUUUUCCCUCUGUGUCUCCUUCCUAACCACCUUUUUUUCCAGUUUCCACCAUGUAUCACAAGAGGAAAAGAAUAAGGAAGAAAAAGAUGAAUAAAUGAUUAUGAAUGAAAAAAAUCAUCCAAGCCUUGGAUAUUACAGAUACAUAAAACUCUGUUCUCAUGCAAUAUACUCAUUUUUUUCUUUUAGGUUUUGUGUUGUUAUUAUUAAUAAGAGUAAUAAUUUGAAAGCAAGCCAUUGCCUUCUAUGUGGUUAUAUUUGGCAAGUGGUAAACAAUGCACCUCAGAUUGGCCAAUUGCUAAGCUAUGGGGACAAACAAAAAAGCAAAAAUUUACUGCAGCAUUUGGGCAAAAUUGCUCGCAUAAACUCAGACUAGAUUUAGAUAAGAGUUACUGAUUUUCCCCACAACGAAAUGCCCUUUUCCCCUCACACCAACUGAACCUUGGUUAGGAUGUAACACUAGUGGUAGCUAAUUUUGUGAGGUAAAAUCCACCCUCUCUUGGUACCAAAAAUAAAAAGAAACAUGUACAAGAUUAGGAAAAUAUUUGGUUGGAGAGUUGUAGGGACUAGUUGAGAACUAAUGAGUUAGCUAGCCAAUCCCCACAUUAAAACACCAAAGCAAAUACAAACGUUUAGUUGUUCGUUCAAACUAACUCUUGAAUGCAGUUGGUUGGUUGUACUCUAACGAUUGCAGGAGUCCACAAAGAGUUCAGUGGCAUUUUAAAGAGCAACAUUUCAUGACACCCUCUGUGGUUGCAUACCUGGAAUGCUAUCCCGAAGAUAGAAACAAAAUGCAGAGGGCAUUGGUACUUCUUGCAUUGCAUUUCUCUCUCCCCUUUUUUGCCAUUCCUCGCUGUCCCUUACCAUCUUAUCUUAGAGCCCGAUCCACGUCAUACCGAAUUUGCUAAGCCUUUAAAGUGCCACCAUACUCGUCACUUGUGUUGCUGCAAUAGUUUAAUACAGCUGGAAACUGUAUUGGUAAUUCAAGUGCUGUUGAUAUUUCAAGCCUAUUGUUGUGUAUUUAAUUUUCAUGAGGAAUUGGCACAUUAGAAGGGAGCAAGUAAAGAAUUUCACAGGGGGGGGG